GGGCGUAAAGAGCUCGUAGGCGGUUUGUCGCGUCUGCUGUGAAAAUCCAAGGCUCAACCUUGGACCUGCAGUGGGUACGGGCAGACUAGAGUGCGGUAGGGGAGAUGGGAAUUCCUGGUGUAGCGGUGGAAUGCGCAGAUAUCAGGAGGAACACCAAUGGCGAAGGCACAUCUCUGGGCCGUAACUGACGCUGAGGAGCGAAAGCGUGGGGAGCGAACAGGAUUAGAUACCCUGGUAGUCCACGCCGUAAACGGUGGGAACUAGAUGUGGGGUCCGUUCCACGGAUUCCGUGUCGCAGCUAACGCAUUAAGUUCCCCGCCUGGGGAGUACGGCCGCAAGGCUAAAACUCAAAGGAAUUGACGGGGGCCCGCACAAGCGGCGGAGCAUGCGGAUUAAUUCGAUGCAACGCGAAGAACCUUACCAAGGCUUGACAUAUAGAGGAAAAGCGUAGAAAUACGUUCCCCGCAGGGUCUCUAUACAGGUGGUGCAUGGUUGUCGUCAGCUCGUGUCGUGAGAUGUUGGGUUAAGUCCCGCAACGAGCGCAACCCUCGUCCUAUGUUGCCAGCACGUAAUGGUGGGAACUCAUGGGAUACUGCCGGGGUCAACUCGGAGGAAGGU
rnacentral:rRNA from 1 species